rnacentral:rRNA from 1 species
GCUAUCAUGCAGUCGAGGGGCAGCAUGAGUGUAGCAAUACAUUUGAUGGCGACCGGCAAACGGGUGCGGAACACGUACACAACCUUCCUUCGAGCGGGGAAUAGCCCAGAGAAAUUUGGAUUAAUACCCCAUAGUAAAUUGAAAAGGCAUCUUUUUAAUUUUAAAGAUUUAUCACUUGAAGAUGGGUGUGCGGCUGAUUAGGUAGUUGGCGGGGUAACGGCCCACCAAGCCUGCGAUCAGUAACUGGUGUGAGAGCACGACCAGUCACACGGGCACUGAGACACGGGCCCGACUCCUACGGGAGGCAGCAGUAAGGAAUAUUGGUCAAUGGACGAAAGUCUGAACCAGCCAUGCCGCGUGGAGGAUGAAGGUCCUCUGGAUUGUAAACUUCUUUUAUCUGGGACGAAAAAAGGCUUUUCUAAGUCGUCUGACGGUACCAGAUGAAUAAGCACCGGCUAACUCCGUGCCAGCAGCCGCGGUAAUACGGAGGGUGCAAGCGUUAUCCGGAUUCACUGGGUUUAAAGGGUGCGUAGGUGGGUUGGUAAGUCAGUGGUGAAAUCCCCAAGCUUAACUUGGGAACUGCCAUUGAUACUAUCAGUCUUGAAUACCCGUGGAGGUCAGCGGAAUAUGUCAUGUAGCGGUGAAAUGCUUAGAUAUGACAUAGAACACCAAUUGCGAAUGCAGCUGGCUACACGAAUAUUGACACUGAGCACGAAAGCCGUGGGGAUCAAACAGGAUUAGAUACCCUGGUAGUCCACGCCCUUA